GGAGGUACAGGAAAUGCACUGAACUCAGCUUUGUAGGGAGAACAAAGGCAUACAGGCAGGGAGGAAGGAGGCAGGAAGGCAGUUUUAUGGCUGAGAAUGUCACAAGCAGAAAGGGCCAGAGUUUCUCUGGAUUUAUGUAACUGAAUAGAGAACUGUGCAAUAAGGCAUAUUUAGUGAGGUCAAUUCAGCAAAGCUCUUAGACACAUGUUUAUUAUUAAGGAUUUGAGUAAUCCCAUCUCUAUUCAGCAAUGCAUGCAAGUUAAGUGCGAUUUAAGCAUGUGCUUAAAGUUAUGUUUGUAUAUGGAAUAUGUGAGAAUGUUUAUAAACUUUCUUUGAACAGUAUUUAUGCCAGUUUCCCCAUCUUCCUGUGUAUGGUUACCUAGUAGGUUUGAAUGGUUUAACUUCUGUUCUGGGCUGUCGGUGUGAUACAUGGGAAAACCAAAUGUAGGUGUUUGUGUUGGCAUAAACUGACUCACCAGGAACUAAAUGGAGACAUCUCCCUAAGGAAUGAAAUCCUGUGAACACAAAGAAAGCUUCGUUGAUGGGACACUAACUUUUAAGAACCAGGAAACAAGGAGUGGUGAACCGAUAUCAGGGUUUUCAAAGCUUCCUUAUCAAGAAGAGGGCUUCCUUAGAGACAUAGGAUUUACUGAAGGCAAUGGAGCUGGGGUGAUUUAUGUCAGCUGAGGAUCUAUCCCCCAAAUAUUAUCUUUGUGAAUAUACAAACAGACACCCACAGGAACUGAGCUGAGACCAGAAAAUGGACACCCCCAGGAACAGAAGAGAGGCACAUGGCAAAGCAAAAGAAAGAAAAAUAAAAUCCACAUGAACUCCAGUUACAAAAUCGCAGGACUUUGAACUUUAUUAUCAGGUAAACUGAAGUGAGACUGAACAACUAUACGAAGAAAAAAAAUAUAUAUUUUUUCUAAAUCCAUUUUCUUUGGACUUGGUUAUGUUACAUUUACUCUUCCUAAGUAAUAGCUUAAGUCACUCAAUCAACAUCAGUGGGGCAGUGUUCAGCAUAAGAUAACAAUAUUGGUGAAAGCAGGUUUUCGUCUACGUUUUUCCUAAUGUUGAUUUUUGUUGUUUCCAAAUGCCUCGGUAAGGUAACAGUUUGAUAUUUGUAUGCCUGUUUCUGACUACAUGGUAUCUCAGUGUUACUGUGGUUUCAUUACCAUAUCUUUUGUUGUGUGGGUUUCUAUUUCAAGAGGUUGAUCAAAAUUAAUAUGGUCCCUCUACCCAAUGGCAUUUAUUUUGGUUAUAAGAUUAGAAAUGUAAAUUUGCAAUAAAAGAAGAAAAUAGGAAGCUGUUUUUAAUGAAUAUUUUACACAUGACUAAUUAACAGAAUCCCCUACAGGAAUUUGGAAGUAAUAAGGAAUUGACUGAAAAUAAAUUAAAAAUUAAUAAAGGGGUCUCCAAACAACUUUGUUUAUGAGCAAUACCAGUUGCAUUCUUAGUUAUGAAUAUUUCAAGCUGUUUUGCUAUUCAGAAUGUAUUAUUCUUAGAGUGUUCAUAAUUUUAGAGGUGAUUAGACAAAAAAGGAGUAACACACAAAACAAAAUGUCUCGAAAUGAUAAAUCCUACCUGGGGAAAAGUUGCUAAUGUACAAAUAAUGGCUUAAUAUCCAGAUUUUUUUUGGUCUAACAAUAACUGUAAAAUGAUGCUGCCAUCUCCAUAAGGAUCCUAAGCUUCUACAAGUAGUAAAUUGCAAUGCUGUCUGGCUUUGAUUCAUUGAGCAAUGUGAAAACUUUUGUAACGGGAUAUUUUGGAAAAGAAAACAAGUGCAGAAACUCAGAUCAGCAUAAUCAUUAGUGACUAUUUGAUGAACCUUGAAUGAAAAUAGUAAUACUCACAGUGGUGAAAACUGAAGAAAAGACAACAACAUUCAGAAGAAAACUUAAAGACUCUUCCCCCCUUUAAAAGUAAGAAACACAUCUCCAUUUAAAAACAAACAUUCACACACAUGAGAACCUGUUAUGGCCUGGUCUACAUUUCCUCUACAUUUUUAUGCUACUUCAAUUCACAAUAUAAUUUUCAAACCAAAGCAGAGUAAUUUAAAUUCCCUUGAAUGAUUCCUACUUAUAUAGUUAGUGGAAAUCCUUAAGUCCCUCACAGAAUUUAAGUUAAGAUUCCUAUUACUGACUUCCAUGGUGCAAGAAGUCUAUAGCCCUGAAAAAUGUAAAAGAAUGUAUAUAUAUGCUACACUACACUACACUUGAUUAGCUAAAAUAAUCUGGGAUUACUUUUAAGUAGCCAGAACCUGCUAAUGAUCCAAAUAAUCCUAGGGUCAUAGGCAUGUCAGUGCAAAAGUAAA